UACGGAGGGUGCAAGCGUUACUCGGAAUCACUGGGCGUAAAGAGCGCGUAGGCGGGAUAGCAAGUCAGCGGUAAAAGCCCGGGGCUCAACCCCGGCCUGCCGUCGGAACUGGGUGCCUUGAGUGGGCGAGAAGUAUGCGGAAUGCGUGGUGUAGCGGUGAAAUGCAUAGAUAUCACGCAGAACCCCGAUUGCGAAGGCAGCAUACCGGCGCCCGACUGACGCUGAGGCACGAAAGUGCGGGUAUCGAACAGG
rnacentral:rRNA from 1 species